AUUGAACGCUGGCGGCAGGCCUAACACAUGCAAGUCGAGCGGAUGAAGGGAGCUUGCUCCUGGAUUCAGCGGCGGACGGGUGAGUAAUGCCUAGGAAUCUGCCUGGUCUUGGGGGAUAACGUCCGUAAACGGGCGCUAAUACCGCAUACGUCCUGAGGGAGAAAGUGGGGGAUCUUCGGACCUCACGCGAUCAGAUGAGCCUAGGUCGGAUUAGCUAGUUGGUGAGGUAAAGGCCUACCAAGGCGACGAUCCGUAACUGGUCUGAGAGGAUGAUCAGUCACACUGGAACUGAGACACGGUCCAGACUCCUACGGGAGGCAGCAGUGGGGAAUAUUGGACAAUGGGCGAAAGCCUGAUGCAGCCAUGCCGCGUGUGUGAAGAAGGUCUUCGGAUUGUAAAGCACUUUAAGUUGGGAGGAAGGGAAGUAAGUUAAUACCUUGCUGUUUUGACGUUACCAACAGAAUAAGCACCGGCUAACUUCGUG
rnacentral:rRNA from 1 species